rnacentral:rRNA from 1 species
UACGUAGGGUGCGAGCGUUGUCCGGAAUUAUUGGGCGUAAAGAGCUCGUAGGCGGCUUGUCGCGUCGGAUGUGAAAGCCCGGGGGCUUAACCCCCGGGUCUGCAUUCGAUACGGGCAGGCUAGAGUUCGGUAGGGGAGAUCGGAAUUCCUGGUGUAGCGGUGAAAUGCGCAGAUAUCAGGAGGAACACCGGUGGCGAAGGCGGAUCUCUGGGCCGAUACUGACGCUGAGGAGCGAAAGCGUGGGGAGCGAACAGG